GACGAACGCUGGCGGCGUGCUUAACACAUGCAAGUCGAACGAUGAAGCGGGUGCUUGCACUCGUGGAUUAGUGGCGAACGGGCGAGUAACACGUGAGUAACCUGUCCUUUUCUUUGGGAUAACGGCUGGAAACGGCUGCUAAUACUGGAUAUUCAGGCUGCAUCGCAUGGUGUGGUUUGGAAAGGUUUUUUCUGGGAUUGGGUGGGCUCGCGGCCUAUCAGCUUGUUGGUGGGGUGAUGGCUUACCAAGGCUUUGACGGGUAGCCGGCCUGAGAGGGUGGGCGGUCGCACUGGGACUGAGAUACGGCCCAGACUCCUACGGGAGGCAGCAGUGGGGAAUAUUGCACAAUGGACGAAAGUUUGAUGCAGCGACGCCGCGUGGAGGGUGUAGGCCUUCGGGUUGUGAACUCCUUUUUCUCGCGAAAAAGGCACAGUUUUGGCUGUGUUGAUGGUAGUGGGGGAAGAAGCGCCGGCUAACUACGUG
rnacentral:rRNA from 1 species